rnacentral:lncRNA from 1 species
CCCGUCUGCUGUGGGAGGGACUGUGUGGAAGGUUAUUGAAUCAUGGGGGUGGAUCUUUCCCACACUGUUCUUGUGAUGGUGAAUAAGUCUUAUGAGAUCUGAUGGUUUUAUAAGGGGGAGUUUCCCCGCACAAGUUCUCUUCUUUUGCCUGCUGCCAUCCACAUAAGAUGUAACUUGCUUCUCCUUGCCUUCCGCCAUGAUUGUGAGGCUGAGGUCCUGUGGAAGUAUACAGAAGACAUCUGUGCAGCAAGCUGAGCCAGAAAGGAAGAGACUAGUAAUUGUUGCAGAAAAAUCAAGAAGACUAAUCUUGCAUCUCCCUUGAAAUAUCCAAGAGGUAUUUCUGGAAAUGCCUGGAGGGAAUUUGUGUAUGAGGAUCAAGAAGAUGAAAAGCAGUUUGUUUUCAUUCUAGAAUCCAGGCUGACUGAUAAGCCCCUUACAUAGACACACUGUCCUUGAGAAAAAGCGAAAAGAAAAGAUGAAAAGCCUAGCAGUGACAUCUAAAGCUUCUGCAGAAAACUUAACUUCAUAUUUUACUGGAAUACUUGACACCUGUAGGGAGGAACACUGCAAAUCACAUGGCACAGCAUCCUGAAGAGAACCUGGCACAAAGUGUAUGUUCAAUAAAAAUUUGUUGAAUAAAUGAAGUUAUGGCAAUGAAGAAAUUCAUUAUAUGGAAA